AAAAACUUGUAUAAAACUUUUCAAUAAAAAAAAGAUUCUAAAAAUCAUAAACUGGUUGUAGAAAGAAGACCAACUUGACAGAGAAGACAAUUGCUGAUCUUCAAUGCUGUCACUCAGCAAAGCUGAACAUUUCUCCUUUGCAUAGCACAUUCAAGAAAAUGUAUUAUUUUACAGCUGCUUUGACCAGACUGGUGCUUAUUAUGUGUAAGAGUUUAUGUAGAAGGUCUCAUCUUUGUCAGGCAAGAGGGGCCCAUUCAGAAUGUCACACAUGGGGACCUUCAAAAUCCUGAAGUUCAUGCUGAUUAUUGUUGCCUUGGAGUUACCAGAUCAGUAAGAUUGUAACAGAGGACCCAAAACAACAGAUGGAUUCCCUGGUCUCAAAUAAACAUUCUGACACUGUUUUGAUCUCUGGCCUGUGCCUCAAUUAAGUUCCAGAUUAACAGUCUUGUGUACUGUAGGCACAUAAAAGCAGGGAGCCUUUUGUGAAAGCUUACUCACUGUGCCUGGCUUUGCUGUAUAACCUUUUUCCACAGACUGAGCUCUAGGCAAAGCUGGUUCUUCCUGUCUGAAGUUCAAGAUAACAAGCACAACACUGAUUGGCUGGUCCCUUAUAAUAACAAGAAAUUAUCUUCCAGAGAUCUUCCUUUUUGGAACAGUUUAUGAAGCUGCUACGUGUUGCCAAAAUGAUGGGAGUUACUGCAGCUGCUGUGUCCACAUCUGGUACCCUCAAGUGUUUGGACUGCAUCUCCCCAAAGUAUGGUCCUUUUGGCAACUGUAAUGCAACAUUGUCUGAGGAUGACAGCCCUUAAAUUUAGCUUAGUUUAGAUCACUCAGAUGAGAUUCAUCAGUUUUAUCUCAACUCUGUGCAGGACAGGCGAAGCUCUGAACUAUUGGGGUAAGUGAUUUUUGUUUUAUUUGAAAAUAUAUUUCCAGUUUCAAACAAAUGUAUUCUCUGUCUCUUUAAAUUACAAAAGUCAAACUGUGUUCUUUGUUCUUUUUGAAUAAGGAUUUAGAGUUGGGUCACUGCAUGCAAGGCAGAUUAACACAGAUCUGUUGGUUAUGGGUGAUACUGCAUCGUUUAACUGUAAUCACCCUAUUCCUCCAUCAAACAGAAUGUGGUUCUGAUCUAUAUAUUUUAGUUCUUGUUGUUCUCUUCAAAAUAAUCUGCUGAAAUUAUUAUUAAAUUAUUGUUAAGUCUCAGAUAAGGAGAAGAAACCCCCGUGGUAUUCAGUUUACAAGUAUUUAAUAUAGCAAAACAAACAAACAAACCCAAGUAUUAGAAAAACUGGAUAUGUUUGUCUUCCUGUUUUAGAAAAAAAAACCACAUAGAAUAAUAGAGUGGGACCACCCUUGCUAUACAUUUCUCUUCUGGACUCAUCCCAGGGAAACUGAUCUGUGACAUUACAGCAGAGAGAAGAAGAAAUAUCCAAUCUCUUCUGUGAUUUCAGAAUUUGAAAUAAAAAAUGGAUAUAAAGGAAGACACAAAAAGUUACAUAACAAACAAGCAAAAAAAGAACCCAUUUAAAUUAGCAUCUAAGGCAGUUCAUUUAUUCUUUGCUGCUGAGCAAGCAAGUGGCACUCGAGAUAAAAUUUCCCUGACUUUUAGGCAGUUUAGUUUGUAUCUUAAAUUAAUUUAAGAAAUAUAACUAUAACAAACCAGUCCCAAAUGCUAGAAUUUGUAAUUUAAUAUAAAUUACCUUAUGUUAAAGUUGAUGCUAACUUCUUGUAGGAAUAAGAACAUAACAAUAUCAAAAAUAAAUUCUUAAAAAUUCUUACAUAUCAUCACCAUUAUCAUUCAAUUAUAUCAUUCUGUGUGACUUAUACACUCAAAUAAUGUACCUACAUUUUUCAAAUCUUAUGUUGCAUUAUGUUUGUAAUAGUGAUUUUGGAACAGCUCAGGAAGAACAGGUAGCAUAGGGUCAGCAAAAAUGUCAAGGCCUGAAAGAAGACAUAUAAACUCUAGAUUCUAGAGCUAAUUCUAAAAUUGUAUCAUUAAAUUUGAAGAAAUGAACCACACAAAUACACACUAUUGUUCCCCUUGUAUUCUUAUCUUAAUUGUGUGUUAAAACUUCAUCAGAAAAAGCUCAUUAAUGAUUUAGUUAUGGAUACUUCUUUAGCAGUUCACUGAAGUCACCAAUAUUAAUUUCAUUGGAAUUUCCCAUUAGACAAUUUGCUACUUACCCCUAAUCGUUUUUGCUUAACAAUGUGUUUGUUUUUCAAAUUAAGGAAAAAAACCUAGAAAUGACUAGGAAGCAAUGAAUAGCACUUACUGUGUUUGUAUGUGUAUGUAUUCUAAUUAUCUGUAUGUACAAUUCAUAAGACUAGAGACUACAAGUGCACUGAUUAUGAAUAAUCUCCAAGAAAGUGUUCUACAGUUCCAAUGUUUUAAAAAUCAUCUUAACUGCACAUGUUCUUCACACCAGCUCUGGAUUUACACCAUUUAUAACCAGUAGCAUAAUCACACAAGUUCAUCAAUUUCUGGAUAAGUAUAAUAAUUGUCAAAAAGAAAA